rnacentral:rRNA from 1 species
AGUGAACGCUGGUGGUAGGCCUAACACAUGCAAGUCGAACGGCAGCACAGUAAGAGCUUGCUCUUACGGGUGGCGAGUGGCGGACGGGUGAGGAAUACAUCGGAAUCUACUUUUUCGUGGGGGAUAACGUAGGGAAACUUACGCUAAUACCGCAUACGACCUACGGGUGAAAGCAGGGGAUCUUCGGACCUUGCGCGAUUGAAUGAGCCGAUGUCGGAUUAGCUAGUUGGCGGGGUAAAGGCCCACCAAGGCGACGAUCCGUAGCUGGUCUGAGAGGAUGAUCAGCCACACUGGAACUGAGACACGGUCCAGACUCCUACGGGAGGCAGCAGUGGGGAAUAUUGGACAAUGGGCGCAAGCCUGAUCCAGCCAUACCGCGUGGGUGAAGAAGGCCUUCGGGUUGUAAAGCCCUUUUGUUGGGAAAGAAAAGCAGCAGGUUAAUACCCCGCUGUUCUGACGGUACCCAAAGAAUAAGCACCGGCUAACCUCGUG